rnacentral:lncRNA from 1 species
GCCUCCUAGCACCACACGUGAGACUGACGGCCGUUGACAACUGCCAUUUGGACCCUUUUCUGUGCGAAAAAUGUCAUUUUCCGACAAGACCAAGGCAUGUAUCUGAUCGUCAAUCCUCUGGCCACAGUCCCCCGGGUCAGGCUUUACAGCUGAUUGAACAAUUGGGCAAAGCUGUUUGAGUAUACAUAGGGAGACGUAUUCAGAACCCGCUGGCUGAGCUGGUGAAGACUGACCCAAACACAUCAGCAUUGGAAACUACCAGAGGUGGAGAAGAGAGGAGUGAUGGGUGCUGACUGUACCCCUAGAGAAGCUCUCGUUGAAGUUGGACACUGGAGCUGGAGGCAGCGCAGUGCAUUCUGGGUGGUGGACAUUCCGUUGAAUAACAGAACCUCUGUGCAGAAGGACAAUGAUAGACGGAGAUGUCUGGGUGUAUUCAAACAAACUGAGAAAGCAUAAUAAACCACAGACCCACUCGGA